UCUCAGGCUGUGACCCUCCAGAGGGAAGUGCUUUCUGUUGUCUGAGAGAAAAGAAAGUGCUUCCCUUUGGACUGUUGCAGUUUGAGU
rfam:Nomascus leucogenys chromosome 10, whole genome shotgun sequence.